rnacentral:misc_RNA from 1 species
GGAAGUAAAGUCGUAACAAGGUCUCCGUUGGUGAACCAGCGGAGGGAUCAUUACCGAGUUCCAGCAACUCCCAACCCUUGCGAACCGUACCCCAGUCUGUUCUCGUUGCUUCCGGCAGGCGGGGGGGGCCACCUGGCCCCUCCCCCUGCCGGGGGCGGCGGGCCCUCUGAACCCUUAUAUCUCAACCACUGAAACCCGUCUGAGCAAAACAAAAAAUAAUCAAAACUUUCAACAACGGAUCUCUUGGCUCUG